rnacentral:rRNA from 1 species
AGUGAACGCUGGCGGUAGGCCUAACACAUGCAAGUCGAACGGCAGCACAGUAAGAGCUUGCUCUUACGGGUGGCGAGUGGCGGACGGGUGAGGAAUACAUCGGAAUCUACUUUUUCGUGGGGGAUAACGUAGGGAAACUUACGCUAAUACCGCAUACGACCUACGGGUGAAAGCAGGGGAUCUUCUGACCUUGCGCGAUUGAAUGAGCCGAUGUCGGGUUAGCUAGUUGGCGGGGUAAAGGCCCACCAAGGCGACGAUCCGUAGCUGGUCUGAGAGGAUGAUCAGCCACACUGGAACUGAGACACGGUCCAGACUCCUACGGGAGGCAGCAGUGGGGAAUAUUGGACAAUGGGCGCAAGCCUGAUCCAGCCAUACCGCGUGGGUGAAGAAGGCCUUCGGGUUGUAAAGCCCUUUUGUUGGGAAAGAAAAGCAGCAGGUUAAUACCCCGCUGUUCUGACGGUACCCAAAGAAUAAGCACCGGCUAACUUCGUG